rnacentral:rRNA from 1 species
AUUGAACGCUGGCGGCAUGCCUAACACAUGCAAGUCGAGCGGCAGCGGGAAAGUAGCUUGCUACUUUUGCCGGCGAGCGGCGGACGGGUGAGUAAUGCCUGGGAAAUUGCCCAGUCGAGGGGGAUAACAGUUGGAAACGACUGCUAAUACCGCAUACGCCCUACGGGGGAAAGCAGGGGACCUUCGGGCCUUGCGCGAUUGGAUAUGCCCAGGUGGGAUUAGCUAGUUGGUGAGGUAAUGGCUCACCAAGGCGACGAUCCCUAGCUGGUCUGAGAGGAUGAUCAGCCACACUGGAACUGAGACACGGUCCAGACUCCUACGGGAGGCAGCAGUGGGGAAUAUUGCACAAUGGGGGAAACCCUGAUGCAGCCAUGCCGCGUGUGUGAAGAAGGCCUUCGGGUUGUAAAGCACUUUCAGCGAGGAGGAAAGGUUGAUGCCUAAUACGUAUCAACUGUGACGUUACUCGCAGAAGAAGCACCGGCUAACUCCGUGCCAGCCGCCGCUGUAAUAC